AAAAGAAAGAAAGGAAAGGAAGAAAAGGAAGAAGAGGAAAUUGAAGGAAAGAGCAUGAUUUGAAGCCAAUCUUUGUGAGUAGUGAUUGAUAUUUACAUUAAGAUAGUAGCUGCGUUGAGCCAUAUUGGAGCUUGUUGAUCUGCGAGUUGAGCCACACAGUAUCAUUUCUUGUAUGUCGCAUCUUGUCUGUUAAUACAUCACAUAUUUUCGGGAUUGAUGCAUCAUUUAUCAGAAAAAUGUAUUUAUAUCACGAGCUCACUGCAUAUUUUUUUAUAUAUGUUUUACAAAUGGAGUUGUCUGAAUGUAAAGGAAUAUAAUUUCUUUCAAAUGCACUUAUUUUGAAUAGUUGGUAUUUCAAAGGGUUGGUGUACCUUGUUUUA